rnacentral:rRNA from 1 species
GAUGAACGCUGGCGGCGUGCCUAAUACAUGCAAGUCGAGCGAACGGACGAGAAGCUUGCUUCUCUGAUGUUAGCGGCGGACGGGUGAGUAACACGUGGAUAACCUGCCUAUAAGACUGGGAUAACUUCGGGAAACCGGGGCUAAUACCGGAUGAUAUUUUGAACCGCAUGGUUCAAAAGUGAAAGACGGUCUUGCUGUCACUUAUAGAUGGAUCCGCGCUGCAUUAGCUAGUUGGUAAGGUAACGGCUUACCAAGGCAACGAUGCAUAGCCGACCUGAGAGGGUGAUCGGCCACACUGGAACUGAGACACGGUCCAGACUCCUACGGGAGGCAGCAGUAGGGAAUCUUCCGCAAUGGGCGAAAGCCUGACGGAGCAACGCCGCGUGAGUGAUGAAGGUCUUCGGAUCGUAAAACUCUGUUAUUAGGGAAGAACAUAUGUGUAAGUAACUGUGCACAUCUUGACGGUACCUAAUCAGAAAGCCACGGCUAACUACGUG